rnacentral:rRNA from 1 species
GCCAGCAGCCAUAUCAUCCUGCAGCUCUCAACUGGCUACCCACUAAGGCUAAGCAUGGUUGAACCUGCUCAGUACCUGGAUGUGAGAUCUCCUGGGAAGCCAUGGUUACUGCUGGAA